UUUCAAUAUAAUAUUAUAAUUGAUUUUCCACUAGACACCCUUUAUAUUGGAUGGUGAAAACAAUAACUUAUAUGUGCAAUUUACAUGUUUUAAAAUCCGAUUCAUCUGAAAUAUAUUCGACACUGUUAAUUGCAGAGGAAAUAAGAAUGAACAAAACAGAUAUACGGUAGUGCGGUUAAAAGCAAAUGUAAAACCUUUUAAGAUAUUUUAAAAAAAUGAAAGUUAUCAAACAGUUUUUACAUCAUUAACAGAUGUAGCCGAUAUUUUCAUUGAAAAAAUUGACACGGUUCAAGAAUUUACCGCUAGUAUGUAUGGCAUCAAGAACUGCACCAAAGCGAAUGAUGCGAGAUAUCGCCUUAUUCUAAAAAACACUCAGCCAAAGAAGACAGCGAACAUUAUUAAAAAAAAGGCUUUGACUCCAACACUAUAACACCAUGGUGAAUAUAUUAUUGAUACAAAAACAUUUACAAACUAAUUUUGUAAAUUCCACAUGGCUUAAUGCAAUGGAUCCAGUAUGAAACCCGCAUGGAACUUCAACCUGAGAACUGCGAUUGGGUCUUAGAUGAAUAUUUAAAACCACUAGGGUUCAUUGGGGAUCAUACACCUUUAAAGAUAGAAGACAUUGUGGAAACAAAUGAAACAGAAAGUGAUGACGAAGAAUAUUCUGAAGUUGGAGAAUACCAUUCUGUUUACCAAGCGCAUGCCAAAAUCAUGGCGCGAAAGCUUUCUGCUUCCAUUUUCCAAAAAUAAUGGCUAUGUAACAUAGUACGAAAAUUACAGGGGUAUUAAAUUAACAGCUCACAAAAUUAAAAUCUGGGAAAAAAACUUAAUAAACGUAUCUCUACUCUGUUCGAAGUGAUUUUUUUUUAUUGCUUAGAUUACUCUACUUCUGCUACUACUACUUCUACUACUCUGUGUAUACUACACAUUGCAGAAGUAUAGGCAGACCUGAACACUUGAAUAAAAAAUUUAGAUUCAAAUUGGAAAUUUGAUGUAUUCAGCCAAGCAGCAUCUGAUCUAAACACAAAUAAGUGGAAUAAAGUAACUAUAGUCCCUUUGGCUAACGACUAAAAAAUUCUGAAAUAAUACCUCGAAAAAUAAUCCGAAGAACCUGCGAAUAAAAUCAAAGAAGGUUCAUUUAACGUUUUGACUUAUAUACAACUAUUACAGACUGUCUAUUGUAGUUUUGUUACUUAACGGACGCAUGCCUGGAGAACUUCAAAGAAUUAAAGUUCACGGCUAUUUGGAAUGUGAUAUUGCUUCUGAUAAGUACGAAGAGAUCCGCCGGACUCUUACUGUGUCAGAAAAGGACUUACAACAAAAAAUUAGAAGAGUUUUCAUUAGAGGCAAGCGUGGUCGGGGGGUUCCCGUUUUAUUUAAUAAGGAGGUUCAAAAGGAUAUUAAAUUACUGCUCUCGAUAAGAAACAUGAUUUGAUGCAGAAACAUCAAAACCUUUUCUAUUUGGUAUGCCAGGAUUUGAAAACACGAUAUAUGGCUACAAAGUAUAAGAAAGGCAAGGUUGCACAAGAAAAUGGCAAAAUUAGAAAAUAUUUUAAUAGAGCUGAAGUCUAGAUGCCUUAUUAAUGAAUACGAUGGUGACUUACUUUCAUCAGUUGACUCUGUUAACAAAGACUUUUUAAAGAAGGUUAUUUGUCUCGGUUCUUGAAUACAAAAUAUUCUCCAAGCUUGGUAUAGGUGAUAACCCGCCCCAAACUGUGACGGACGUAUAUAUUCAUAUAUUUUUUUGUAAUUUUCUUAUGUAAUAAUGGUAACAUAACUACAUACAUAAGAUUUAAUAAUACUAUAUAUUAUUUCAUAACAUAUAAGGUGAUUUUACUAAUUUACAAUGCACCAGGUCAUCCCAAAACUAUAAUUAAUUUCGAUCCACAGGUGGAAGUUGUAUUUUUGCCACCAAUCACUACCAGCUUGCUUCAAUCAAUGGACCAGGGAGUCAUUGAAACAUUUACAGCUUACUGUUAAUAAAACCACUAUUACAGAUCAGUCUUAGUCCGGUGAAGUGGGGUACAUAGCAUAUAGACAGAAUAAAUCAGUACGUUGUCCAGAACGGUUGUGUCAUUUUACUCGCAUCUCCCCGCACCCCACACCUCAUAGCGACCCUGCCGUGCCGUGGCGUGGGAGCGUGUCGGGUGACCGGCGAAUAAUGCACUUACGCGACGGAUUCCUGUGUGCCUUAGUGCCACUUUUAAUCAUCUUAUAAUAACUUCCUGUACGUGCGACGCGACUUCAAAAUUGACCAAAUUUAGUACUAUAUUGCCAUUAAUAUGGGGAAAAGUUAAACACUGAGAAGGUAAGGCGUGCAUUCUUUGAACUCCGAAAUCCUCAUACGACUGCUUAUAACAUAUAAUAAUGACAAGUAAUUUUGUUUUGUUUUUUUUAAUUAUAUUGUUUUAAAGAAUCUCAUAUAUGGUCAUCUAUUUUUACCUAUAUUUGCAAAAUAAAUAUAUCUUUAUUUUACGUUUAAUUAGCUAUGAAUAUUAGCUUUGAAGUUAAAAAGGAAGAUAUUACAAUAGAAAUAGAAGAGUUUAUAGCGCGCCCUAUAGCUGGGGCCGUUGUUUCGGCACCGAACUCGUCGGCCCCGCGAACGCCUUUACCGCACCGCGCCUACGGGCUGCGUCCAUGUCGGCGUCCUGCGCUCCCGCAGUGCCGAGCCGGCUGUGUUUAAGGGAGGACGCGCGCGCGAACGUGACCCGUUGGCUCACCUUUGUAAUUGCCGACCUUAAUUACCGAUUAUUAUUGUUAUGAAUACACCCCAUAUAAUUGUAAAAUUGUUUAAAUAAAUAUAUACCCGAUAAGUUGACCCAUAUAUAAUUCACCAGAUUCAAAACAAAGAUGGAAGAAACUUCAUAUUCGCUGGACUGAUAAGGAGCUCGAUAUUGUGCAGAAACAAUUUAAGAAAGAACUCUGAAAAAAAUAAUUUUGGCAAGUUAAAUGGUUAAGGGAGGAACCAAUCCUUCACAGGAGAAUAUGGAUGCAAUUAAAUACCUGUGGUAAUAAUAUGUACGUUAAAGGAACAGGAAAAACAACAGUAAAUAAGAGAAGAAGCAUUAGUAUCAGUCGAUCUGCACUUACUAUAUUAUGUUGCGUUACAAGAGACAGACACUUUUAUAUAUUGCCACCAAAAGUCGAAAAACAAUAUACUUAUAUUAACAUCAACAAAAGAUCUCGAUGAAUCAUUAGGUAUGGUGGUGUGAUGGCAAUGCCGAAGCAAUAUUCUGAGAAAUAUACGCGCCGGUUUGUUCCCACAUGUAUUUUGUAUCAAGCAGUCGUUGCUUAGACCCGUUACCGAACCCUUGUGUGAGUGUAGUACCUACUUAUUACAAAAAUAUAUAUAACUUUGAAUCGUGGACUUAGUAUUUAUCUCUCCUGCACCAGUACCCAAAUACAUAGACUAUACGCACCAAUGAACACAAGCAACAUAAUAGUGGUUUGUGAUCUAAAAUCUAUGACAUGUGUGUCGCGUGACGCGCCAGCGCCGCGGCUCGCCGCCGAAGGGGCUCGCGGGGAUGCGGCACGGCAGCGGGGAGAGAGCGCACCGCGAGGGGUGCGGGGCGCCUGCUACAGCGCUCGCCCGGCCGCGCCGCCUCGCCACUCGCCCACGAACGCCCGCACGAUAACACCGCGCGGCUUGGCACACGCAAAAUUAUGCCGAACUUAUAUGUAAUUGUAACCAAAGGAAAACGUAAAUAAAUCAAUAUUACCAAGCCCUACUUUAUUAUGUUGUGCGUUAACAAUGUGCUUAUGGAGAAUGUGAGUUGUGCACUAAUAAAUAUGUUAACUUUAACAUGAGCCGGAAAAUCUAAACGAUAGCAUAACAUGAAAAGCAUAAAUCUGUCAAUGCAAAUCUGUAUCUUCAAACUGAUGAACAAUCUCUUAGCACCAUUUUCUUGUAGCUUUGUACUGCGGUUAUGGUAGCUCUGCUCUUACCACCCCGAGUCAAAAAUCCACAACCAACGAGAAAUAGUCAAAAUACCAAAAAAAUAUGUUCAUAACCAUUACUUGUAAUUUUAUAAAUUAAAAUUGAAUAGGUAUUUCUAUAAUAAAACAUUGACAAAAAAUAUUUUUGAUUGUACCUCAAAUUAUUUUAAGAAAAUAAGAAUGUAAAAGCACAGGUAAAAGUAAAUAAUGUCUAAGUACAAAAUGUGAUUUUAUUGUAUUCAUAAGUAUUUAAGUAUUAAGAAUUCCUCUUCCUUAAGGAUUUUUGUGAGACUGAGGCCACUGCCUCAUGCUCAUGAGCCACUGUGUACUACACUAAUAUUGACACAUAAAUUUAAUCCCAGAAAACUUACUAAAAUAUAAUUAUCGGUAGUUUUUUUUUUCAGGAUGGCUCGUUAUGCAAUGCCUCAUAAAAUCAGAAAACAUACAGCUGAUGAAAUGAAAACAGCCUUACAAACAAAGGAGAACAACUAAGUAACUUUCAAGUGACUUUCAGUCAAAGAAAAUAAACAUUUAUUUAAUAAUAGUUAAAAAAUAGAAGUAGUAAAAUUAUUUAUCAUUUUUCUUGGGACUGAAGUAGUCAUUUUAAGUUACUAGAUUAUUAAUUGUAAGACUGAAAUAGUUAUUAUAUUCGUUAUGUUCUUUACCGUUUUGUUUAAUUAAUAAAGACAGUUAAUUAUUGGCCAGAAACCUCGAGCACUGAAACCCGCCGAGCAUAUUCCACGUCUGUUCCAGACGGGCAAGACAAAACUGUUUGUACUGAAGAGUUAUCUCCAUCUAACACAAAUGUAACAGAUACGUCACAGAGUUCUGAAUUACUAGAACUAUUUCAGGAAAAUAAAUUAGCAUAAAUGUAAGAAAUAAUUAAUAAAUAUUAUUAACAAUUAACAGCAAUUUUCAUUUCUACUCCCACCUCAAAGUAAUCAUCAGUUUUUUAGUCACACAAUCUAGCGUAGGAGUAUCAAUGCCCUCGUUUCAGUUUCUUAUUUUUUUUAAAGGUUAUCAAACGAUUGCACUGCCAUUCUCGCGUAGUUACAAAAAAACCGGUCUGGGUAUGUACGAACUUCUUUGAUUACUAAAACAAUUAUCUCCUCUUCAUGCCGCAUCCAAGAAACGACUCACGACGCGUGCACGAAAAACACAAAAGAGCGUAAUUCUCAUAUCUUCUUCAUUCAAAAAUACUUUGGUGGAGAAAAACGUGAUUUCUAGUAACAAACCUAAAGCAUUACAGAACAAAAAGAAAGGUGCAAACAGUCAAAAAAAAA